GCUUUGUUGGUGCAGUGGUAGCAUGCCUCAUUUGGGUUAUUCUGAGUGAACUUUUGAGGUGGUCCUCGGUUCAAUCCCGGGACAAGGCC